rnacentral:lncRNA from 1 species
CACUUGGCCGCGGGCAGCCCCCAUACAACAUGUUUAGAAAACAACUUAGCACUAUCUUGUAAUGUCAGAUAUUUGCCCUGAGAACCUGUAAUUUCUCCCUUCAGUACACUUAGAAAAAUUCUUGUAGGUGUACCGCAGUAAACGUGGAUAACCAUAUUCAUGGGGAUUCUGGGGAGCAGCAGCCGUGCUGGUGUAACUGUUUAAUCUCUCCAAAUCCCGCAGAAGGAUACACACAGCAGCCAGGAUUGCAAACUAAAACCCCACAGGCAAUGACUGCGACAAACUAGAUGACACAGAUCCCACAAACCCUGAAACCCCAGUGGAUGGAGACACACCCACGAGACCUGCAGCCGCCGCCGCUGUGUCAGAGGAAGCCGGAGGGAGCAAUGGCCCUCCUCACAAACCUAGGGACCCCAGAUAACGACAGUGAGUCACGGAAAAGCCAGCGGGCCAAGCGGAGAAGCGCGCCCGUCGCCAGGAGGGAGGCGCGUACUCCGCCAGCAACUGGGGACAAGGGGCGGACCCGGCCUAGGAAACCCUCAGAACUGACCAGCCCAGGCUCCCAUCCAGGACGAACCCCAGCUGAGGAGUAACUGCUGGAAGAGAAUCCAAAUGGAGCAGGGCUGAGAUAGGAAACCACCUUCUUGCCCUUGGGAGAAUUCUUCUAAGUCCCUCCGAAAGAGCGUCCACUUCCGAGGUUCUUUCCUUGUGGAUGAGCACAGGAGGAGCCGUGAAAGCUGAACACCUUAGGAAAGAAGGAAGGAAGCAAGAAGGCAAGCAGACCUCCAGUUAAACGUGGUAGACUGCCCACAUUCAUUAUAUCACCUCCUCUGGAAACCCCUCGAAAAUAAGAGUAAAAGGAUAAUAUCAAUGCAAGCCCAUGAAGAAAGUGGGACCAGGAGAGAAGACAUCAGGGACAAGCGAGUUCAUCCCAUUUCUGAAGAUGGAAAGUGGAUGGAGGGGUAGGAAUUGCCCAGAUGGAGCUGAGGAAGCUGCAGCUGAAGUGCUGGGGAGAGGGCUGACCAAGACGCCGGCUUCUUCCCCUUCUGAAUCCCGGGAGCCGCACGCCAUUCCCAGGCAGGAGACUGGAGGUUUCCUCUUGGACUCUGGCACCUGGAGCUCCGUGGAGAAGCAGGUCCCACCCAAGCUUAGAGCGCUCAUAGGAGCUUUUUAGCACCUUGAGCCUCAGUAUAAAUGGACAGACGUGAGAAAUGCCUCUACCACGUAAGAAGGAAACCAAAGCAAACUGGGAAAAGGAACCCGGAGGAACCAGAGACAAUGUGAGGAGUGGAAUAAAACAUUUAAGUAAAACUACAACUAACGUCUUUAGAGAGAAAAGAGAAUACAUUACACCCCUAAGAAAAGGAUACUGUAGAAAAGAAACAGAGAACUAGAAAUUGAAAAUGUGAUAGCAGAAAUAUUUAAAAAUCAAUAGGAAAAAAGGAAGAUAAAGCUUAGUAAGUUUCCCAAAAAAGAAAACCAGAAGACAAAAGAUUAAGGACUUAGAGGAAAAAUCCAGGAAUCUCAUUUCUGGCUACUAGGAAUGUCAGAGAGAACAGAGACGAAAGAAACGAUCAACCUAUACGAGAAAAUCUCCCCACACUGAAAGACAGGGGUUUCCAGAUUAAAAGGGUCCACCGAAUACCCAGCCCAAAGAUUUAAAGCACCCCCUCACCAAAGCACAAAGUUGUGAGAUUCAGCACACCUGGGAUGGAGAGAGUGUCCUGAAAGCUUUUAAAGAGAGAAAACAGUUUCCAUACAAAGAAAUAAGAAUUAGAAUGGCCCUUUCAACAGCUUCCUGUAAGCCAAAGGCAAUGGGACAGUGCCUUCAAAAUUCUGAACAGAGGUGUUUUCAGCCUAGACUUUAAUACCCACCAACAGUACCUGAGAGAAAAAUAAAGACAUUUUCAAACAUUCUAAAGCAUGUAUCAUCUAUGCACCCAUUUUUAGGAAACUGCGAGAGGCUACUGGUGGUCUAGUGGUUAAGAUCUUGGGUUCUCAUCACCAUGGCACGGGUUCAUUUCCUGGUCACAGAACCACACCACUCACCAGUCAGUUGUCGUACUGUGGCAGCUGCAUGUUGCUCUGAUGCUGAAAGCCAUGCCACCCGUAUAUUAAAUAUCAGCAGGGCCACCCAUGGUGGACAGGGUUCAGCAGAGCUUCUAGACUCAGACAGACUAGGAAGAAGGACCUGGUCACCCACUUCCAAAAAAUUGGCCAUGAAAACCCUGUGAACAGCAGCAGAGCAUUGUCUGAUAGAGCGCAGGAAAGGGAGAGGAUGGCGCAGACAGACCAGGCAGGGUUCAGCUCUGCUGUCCACAGGGGCGCUGGGAGUCAGAAUCAACCCCACAGCCCCAACAACAAACUAGAGGUCAUGCUACAGCCCAACAAGUGAGUGAAACAAGAAAGAAAAUGAUAAAGGAUUCCAGAAACCGGGAGUAGAGGAAAGCAAGGAAGGGCAGCUCUUUCCCUCUGAGGUCAGACCUCCCCCCUGGAACUCACACCUGCAAGGCCUCCAUCCCCUCCGCCUUGGGGCAUCUCUCCAGCCCCCUCCCCCUCCCCCACUCCCCUCCACUUCAAGCCGUCUAGCAAAAUCUGCCUGACCCGCUAAGGCUCUCAGCAGAGGCUGAAGGAAUCUGUCUUCAAGCUCCUCUGCUUUCAACCUUCAAGGGCCUCUGGGCUAGGACACCAAAGAGCCCAACUAGCCUAGAAUGAGAGGAGGGCAGAAGACAGAGAGGCAGGCACAUAUUCCUGUCUCAGUCAGCUGCUCUGUCCCUCUGAUCUGGAGACCCUGAGGAAGGCCAGUUGCCAGGACCUUUGUAUAACAGUGAUGCAGGCUCGGCAAGCCAAGGAGUGGAAAGAAAGAUUUCUUGGACUCUCAAGGUCUGGCAGUAGUGCUCUUUUAUUCAGAGAAUAGUGUGGAAUAGCGUGGGGACAGGACCCAUGGGCCGGAAGAGCUGCAGGCAUGGGUUGAGGGUAGGGCUAAAUUUAAGACAUAGGUAUGUGAGUUAUCUCUUUACAAGACAAAGGAAAGAAUAUAUAAAAAAAGUCGUUAAAAUGGUAUCAGUGCAGGUGGGGUCUGGUUAUUGGGUGGCCCUAUAACUUUAGAUAAGAAUCAGACCGGAUUAAGUCAGGAUGUCCUUGCCUUCCCCAUUAAGAGUUUCUAGAGAUAAGGUCAUCCCCACCUCUUCCUGGUGCAGAGAGGGAGACACCCCCACAGAUGGAGACCUCCCUUACAAAUGCAAAUAUUUCUUAACAAAGGGCAAGCAAAUUCUACUUUGCAGAGUCUCCUUCCCGUCUGCAGCUUUUAAAAGUAACCAGCCCAAAAUAAUCCUCAUCAACAGGACUCAACACAUUUCGGUCAAACGUGGGAGACUUAAGACCACAGAAUGCUCACUAGGUCAGGAGUGUCCCAUUCAGCCCAGGGCCAUAAGCAUUUGGCAAAGGGAGAGCUGGGGAGGGGUUGAAAGAGCUCCUACCUCAAAUAGGCCUUCUCAGGAUUCUCCUCUCUCCUUUCCAGCUUCCAUGUUUCAUCUUCCACUUGACCAAGUCUCUCCUCAGCACCUUAGUCUGGAAGCACCUACCAGCUGUGGUGCGUGCACGCAACAGCUCAGUGACACUGACAGGACUGGGGACUGAAAUUAGACAACAGAAUCCCCAAAGCUGUAAAGACACCCUGCCACCUCAGCCCUCCUCUCAGCUCUGCUCCUAGCACCAACUCAGCCCUCUGCCCAAAUAGUUCUCUUCUGUCGACCAGACCUGAGCUGAACCAUGCGGAGAACCCACGGAGGUAGUCCUGCACCAAAGCAGACGGAUUUUUAGUUCAGGCUGAACGCUUUGACUGUCAGCUAACGGCCUCCAAGGCUGACAUGACAGAUGGACAAGCCUACCCACUAAGCACAGUCACCGACAGACGCCCGGCCCUCUCCGCCCUCGCUCUUGGAGGCCCAGGCAGGCUCUGCUGACACCUGGUGGCAGACAGCAGGCAGACGGGACCAAGUCCAGAGCAGACGUCCCUCGACUCCACCUGCUGCCUGGCCUUCUAGUCUGUGUAAUGAGUAUUGGCUAAAACAGCUGGAAAGGUGUUAUAUUGGAGGAAGAGCUGCUCUGCAAGAUGCCCAGAUUAACGGUCGGCAUUAAUCAGCACCGGGAGAGAAGCCUGGGCAGGUGUCUAGAACAUUCUACCUGCAAAAUCUGCCUUGGCAAGAUUUUUCUUCCCAAAGAUUCUAUUUGUUUGAACAACCUCUGUGUCCACCUCUGUAUCCAUUUAUUCUACCGCCCCUACCCCCGCUCCCGUUUUAAUCAAAUUAUGCCCAGAGAAUAGAAAAAGGGAGGGCCUUAUUCUUACAAAAAGGAAAUUUAAAUUGUUCUGCUAUUGUUAAUUAGCUCAGUCCUAAUUGGGAACAAUUCCAACCGGAAGAAAGAGGACAUGUACAAGAAACAUGUGGCAGGUAAUUGCUAAGAGUCAGUUGCACCAGGAAAGGGGAUGGGAAGGGAAGGAUUCUUGGAAAAUGAAAAUGGAGUCCUUCCCUGGUUUCCAGGAAUACUGCUGGGCUGUGUGGUUGGAGCCGACAGGUUGGGGAGAGAGAACUGGCACGCAGCGAG